rnacentral:rRNA from 1 species
UUCUUCCUACGGGGGGCAGCAGUAGGGAAUCUUCCACAAUGGGCGAAAGCCUGAUGGAGCAACGCCGCGUGGGUGAAGAAGGUCUUCGGAUCGUAAAACCAUGUUGUUAGAGAAGAAAGUGCGUGAGAGUAACUGUUCACAUUUCGACGGUAUCUAACCAGAAAGCCACGGCUAACUACGUGCCAGCAGCCGCGGUAAUACGCAGGUGGCAAGCGUUAUCCGGAUUUAUUGGGCGU